UUCUUUUUUCCUUCUCUUCAUUGUCUCGCCCCUCUCUUUCUAUAUUUUUCAUUUUCUUUAAUAUUAUACCAAUAAUAAUAAUAAAACCCUGCCCCGUUUUAAGUAUCUUAAUUCCCGAUCACCGCUACCCUUUCCGAUUGAUCUGAGUCCCAUAACGCAUGUCAGAGCUCUGCCCGACUAAGUUGUUGGGAUUCUAUCUCGGGACUUCGGGACAAGGUUGAAUUAGGGGUACUAUACUUAAAACCAAUACCUUAUAUAUAUUUUUUUAAUAGUCCAAAAGUUAUACCCAAAACUUAUAUCAGGAGUCUUUCUAGUUGAACCCUAAAGUUACACAGUGGGUCCAUUCCUUUUUCUCACCCUUUUAUUCUCUUUUAGUGAAUUACCCCAAAACUAUUAUUUAUUAUAUAUUACUCUAUUUUGUAAACAACUCACAAUCAAAAUUCAUAUCUAUUUGUCCAAUAGGAAACCCUAAGUGAGACACCCAAGUAAUUCUGCACAAACCCUAAAAAUUUCAGAACAAUCAGAAUCAGGAUCAGGGCCCCUAAAACUCAGGGGGGUGUUCCCUACUUGAUGAUUAUCCUUUUCAAACGUUGUCAAAAUUUAAAAUUAAAGAAACGUCGACUCAGCAAACCUAGUCCCACGCGUGGCAACCCUAUGACCCUUAGGUGUCCCUUACGGACCGUAAGGGAUUAGGCUUACGGUCCGUAAGCCUGUCAAAUUUCGUGUAUAAAUAGCAGGCAUCGGGACUUGAGUUCUGGCGUUCGUUCGACGAUCAAAUUCAAUUGGUACGUCGAGAUAUAGCCAAAAUAAACUCCAAAUCAUUAAUUAGUAUAGUGGGGUGCUGCUACGAUGCCGGGUAUUAACUCGAUCGCUAUUACGAUUCAACGUCCGAUCGAUUAUAACUAUCCAACGAUUAUUUGAGUGCUACUCAAAUUGAAUUUAUACUUUGUUAUUCAUCGUGAUUUCGACUUGAAUGUUUGAGUGCUGUUCGAAUUCGGACUAUACUCUGUCAUUCGUUGUGAAUCCGCUGAAUUGUUAAGUAUUGCACUUUAUUAAUCGUUGUGAGGGUUUAAUCUCGUGAAUUGUCGUAAAUGCUGUAUUAGUUAUUUACCUAGUUCGUGUGCAUCAUUUCCUAAAUUAGGAUAUUAGUCUUACCAAUAGGCUAAACUUCACCUCAUACACCUACAAUCAAAGUAGAUGCUAAUUCUCAGAUGAAUCUGAAUCAUGAAGCUUGUUAAUUCAAAAUACUGCAUGCUUAUAAUGUAAUUACAGUAGAUUGGCGUAAGGAUUGGAUCCGGCACUGAAAGGACUUCAAGAAGUGGCUUAUUUUAUUAAUUAAAUCAAAUUAAGAAAUAUUGUUUUUAUUAAAAGCUACCUUUGUAAAACAUGGAAUUUAUUCUAUCUAUUUAAAUAAAAUCCGGUGUUUCUAAACUCUGAUAUUUUUCCUAACUCACGGUCCAGAUGAAAUUUCCGCUGCAAUGUUUUUUUUUCAAAAAUAACCACCGGUACCACUGGACUGCUCGCGGCUCCCGAUUCCGUCCAGGAUGGGGUCGGGGGUCGUGACAUCAAGUAUAUAUAAUCAAAUUUUAAUUAGGUUUGUCAUGCCUUUUCAUAAUUUUCUUAUUUGAUUCUUUUUAUCGCGACGCUAUCGGUUGUAAAUUUAUAAAAAUAUAACCUUUUUAGAACUUGUUAUUCCCAAAUUAAACCAAGACAAGUAAAAAAAUGAAAAUUUUUGAAAAAGUUUGGGGUGAUUAGAGGUUCCAAUAGAGUUUUGUGUAAGGCUUGUUAUUAGGACUUGCGAGAUUCAAGGUUUUAGCAUCCCCUCCACACUUAAAUUCAAAAGGAAGAAAGAAACGUGUUUUUUCCAACAUUAGUACUAAAAAGGGUUAGUUUAUGCGUCUUUUGAUGUAAUUUAUAUGAUACAUUUUGCACACAUCAUAUAUAAUGUCUGAUGUCUGCGCCUUUAGUUUUUGUGCCAAUGUUAUGUAUAGCAGUGUAACAUGUGAGUUGUGUUUGUGUUUGUGUUUGGUGUUUUGUAUAACGCAUAAGGUUGUAUGAAGUAUAUGAGUCUUGUGUAUCGCAUGAGUCAUGUGCAACGUAUUAGCCAUGCGUAGUUGUGGUCAUGCUCAAGUCUUGUGAUGUCUAUAUAAAGAUUCUUGAAGAUUGC
rnacentral:lncRNA from 1 species